rnacentral:lncRNA from 1 species
CUUCACAAAUAAUGCUAGCCAACAUGUCUACCCUACUGAUUUAACAUUUAUGCAACACAUUUAUCAACUAUUACAAACACAUGUUAUCAAUUACAUGAUAGAAGAGAGAGAAAGUGUACAUUUUUGGCAUAUAUAUUCACCCACACUUGGCCAUAUUUUUCCAAGCUCAAACCUACGAAUUUCUCUUACCCAUAAGCUCAUAAUCAAAGCCCAGCCAUCACAAAUAACAAAUCAGAAGUAUCAAGAAGUCAGAAAUCAAAAAUCAAAGCCAAAAAAAUCAGAAAUCGAAGCUAGAAAAGGUAUGAAAUUCCCUAAUUUUGAAAUCUUUCGAUUCUAUGUUAAUUGAUGCAAUUGAUUGUUUAAAGUAGUGUAAUAGGGAGUCUAUUAAUGUUCUGGGUUAUAAAAACACAGACCCAUAACAUCAAAGUGUACGAAUUUGA